rnacentral:rRNA from 1 species
UACGGAGGGUGCAAGCGUUAUCCGGAUUCACUGGGUUUAAAGGGUGCGUAGGCGGGUUGGUAAGUCCGUGGUGAAAUCCCCAAGCUUAACUUGGGAACUGCCGUGGAUACUGUCAAUCUUGAAUAUCGUGGAGGUAAGCGGAAUAUGUCAUGUAGCGGUGAAAUGCUUAGAUAUGACAUAGAACACCAAUUGCGUAGGCAGCUUACUACACGAUCAUUGACGCUGAGGCACGAAAGCGUGGGGAGCAAACAGG